UGAGAAGGGGGCUAGCGGUGUUCGGAAUUACUGGGCGUAAAGCGCACGUAGGCGGACUCUUAAGUCCGGGGUGAAAUCCCGGGGCUAAACCUCGGAACUGCCUUUGAUACUGUGAGUCUCGAGACCGGAAGAGGUGAGUGGAAUUCCUAGUGUAGAGGUGAAAUUCGUAGAUAUUAGGAAGAACACCAGUGGCGAAGGCGGCUCACUGGUCCGGUUCUGACGCUGAGGUGCGAAAGCGUGGGGAGCAAACAGG
rnacentral:rRNA from 1 species